rnacentral:rRNA from 1 species
UAGGGAAUCUUCCACAAUGGACGCAAGUCUGAUGGAGCAACGCCGCGUGAGUGAUGAAGGUUUUCGGAUCGUAAAGCUCUGUCUUUGGGAAGAUAAUGACGGUACCCAAGGAGGAAGCCACGGCUAACUACGUGCCAG